rnacentral:lncRNA from 1 species
UCCUCUCUACCCUACCAUGAAUCCUUAUAUCAGAGAAAGCAUUGGGCAUUUGGUUUUUUGGGAUUGGCUAACUUCACUUAGCAUUAUCUUCUCUAACUCCUGGAUAACCCAUUUCUUAUUGUUAGACAUCUAGGUUGUUCCCAGUUUUUUACUCCUAUAACCAGUAAGUACAUCAAUAACAUCUUUAUCUAUACUUCUUUGUAUAAGUAUCUCAUAAUUUCCUAAGAAUAAAUUUCUAAAGUAGGUCCAAUUUUUACAGACAGGGCUAGACUGUCCUUUGAAAACUUACUCAAUUUACAUUCCUUACAAAAGUGUAAGAAUGUUUUUCAUUGUACUUCUUGUUUGGCACUAGGUACUAUCAUUAUUUUCUUUUUUUCUUUAUAAUUUUUAGUUGUAGAUAGACACAAUGCUUUUAUUUAUUUAUUUAUUUUUGAUGUGAUGCUGAGAACCAAACCCAGUGCCUUACACAUGCUAGGCAAACGCACUGCCACUGAGCCACAACCCCAGCCCUACUACCACUCUUUUCUAAUCAUAUUCAUUUUAUUUUGAAUCUUCUGAAUUUUGCUUUUAAAGUUUUAGAAGUAUCUUCAUAUUGAUUGUUAUAUAUGCAGAGAUUCAAAGUAUAACCAAACAUCUCUAACUGGCUUCAUGAAUUGAAAGGGUCUAAUGUGGUGUAUCAAACAGGAGGGCUGGGUUGUUCAAGUAAGGAACAACUCAGAAUUGAUCACUUGCUCAUGGACCACAUCAGAGCAGUUUAUCUGGGAGCUUGUGUAUCACAGACAGCAGGGGACACAGGCUGACAGAGGUCCAGUCUUGACACUUGCUUCUAGAAUCACCUUACUGGGUGGAAGAGGAUCUAGUGAAUCAUGCUCUGAUUCUUAAAGCUUCCACCUCAACAGACACAACUCACUUCAGUUUGUAUUUAAUUUUCCAAAGAAAAACAUGAGAACACACCUACCUUCACAGGGGAUAGAGAAGCGCAGACCACAACAUACCUGGCAGGGGAAUUGGAUGAGACUGUCACAUCUUGGAAGAAAGGAGCUACUAUCCGGCAUAUGAUAUUAUUUAACUGUCAAAAAUAAGAAAACUGAGACUUAGUUUAAGUUAUAGCUCAAGAUCCAUAAAUAGAAGAUUACAACAAUCUGGGAUUAUAAUGUGAACCUGUCUUACUUUUUGUGGGGAGGGUGUUAGCAUAAUUGCAGCCAUCUUUCUUUUCCCUACCCCCAUUUUAUGAAUAAUGUUCUUAUUCCCCCAAAAUAGAAGCUAGCCCCAGAUAAAACCUACUGGCAUGGAGAUGUGCCAGUCUCUCCCUGUUCUCUCCCUGAGAGAUAGGAGACAACUCACCGGCCCCUGAGAUGGAGAUGUACUGGUUUCCCUGUUCUCUCCUUGAGAAGAUAAAGGGACAUGUCGGUUUUCCUGUUCCCCCUCUGAGAGAUAGGAAAACUGCCUGUCUCUGUUCCCAAGAAACAAAUUGCCUUCCACAAGAUUUGGGAAUGCUUACUAUGUCAGUCAAGACUAAACAGCCCCUAGUGCCUGGCCAUGAUUCUAGCCUAUAAAAGGUGACAUUCAAGGGGGAGUUGCUGCUGCUCUGCCUCGCUUGCUGCUGGUGUCUCUCUUUUCCUGCAGAGAGCUUUGUCGGGCUCCUGACAAUAAACCCACUUCUUAUCCCAGGUGUGUGUUUGAUCAGUCCUGUGCCACUUUUCUUUCAGUGGGUACUGGGGAUUGAACUCAGGGGCACUUGAACAUCGAGCCACAUUCUCAGCCCUAUUUUGUAUUUUAUGGAGAAGCAGGAUCCCAAUGAGUUGCUUAGCACCUCCUUGCUCUUGCUGACGCUGGCUUUGAACUUGUGAUCCUCCUGCCUCAGCCUUCCAAGCCACGGGGAUUACAGGUAUGCGUCGCCCAGCAACCUAUCUUACUUUUAAAAAUGCUCUUUGUAUUACAUUAUCUUGCUCUUAAGAGCAUCAGCAACAUUUCCAAAAAGAAACUCAGGGUUUGGGACAUACAUUUCCUGUAGUCAUGUGUCGACGUGGGUUCCUCAGGGUUUCUGGAGCUGUUUUCAUGCCCUUGUUGUUAUCAGUGAGCACAUCAAACAUAUCACCUUUUCCUUGAUAGGCCUUCCUGCUUCCCAUCUGACAAACUCUGCAUGUAGUCAAUUCUGAUCUUGUGAUACUUGUUUCACAGAAGUGCCCACUGUUGAUAUUCUCCUCAUGAGACAUACAUUUGGAUCCAUCAUUUCUAAGUAUAAGAGCAUCAUUGCUUCGAGGAUGCUGUCUUGCAAAUAUCCUAUGUUCUGACCAUGCUUCAUGCAAAAGAAGUCCUAACAACUAUCUUGAGCAACGUUGGAGUUCUCGAUAAUGUGCAAACUUCUUGUCUCUAUGCAUUUUGUGUUUUGACAAUAAUAUUCUGGGAGAAAAUAAAAAUCUGUUGAGAAUCCGCUGGGUGUCAAGCACUGUUCUAGGCAUUUUAAUAUAUUUUUAUCUUAUUUAGUUUUCAGUAUAGCACUCUAAUGAGGCAUUCUUAUUAAGGAGGAUAACUGUAU